GUAGGCAAGAAUUUUACAAAGUAUGUCAGAUAAAUUAAUUUGAGAAUCCACCUCAUCACUUGCAUGUCUAGAAGAGAGUACCAAUGAAAUGAUCACUUCAACAAUUUACAGAUUUCAGAACUUACAACACUACAUGUGGAAUGCCUCGUUACAGUUGGUUUAAACAAUAUGGUAACUGUAUUCAUAUUAACAAGGCUGACAAUGUACAAAAGUCAUUUUCUAUGUACACAUUUUCUCCCUUCACAUAACAACAUGCAUUCUCCAUCCAAAACUCCAAGGAAAGGUUGUACCAAGCAGAGAAUGAAGAUUAGCUUGGUUGGGGAGAAAAUCAAGGUGAGAAAUCUUGCCCUGAUCCAAAUAAUAUUCUAAACAUGGUUGCCUCCACCAUAAGCCUCCGUUUUCAGUUUAAGAAUAGGCGAGGCAGGAUCUCUGGACAAUACAAAAUUUCCUUUGAGAUCCGUUUUUCCAUAUUCUUUUACGCGAGAAUCCAUCACAAUACCACAAGAUCUCCAUGUCUCUGCCAUUAACUCCACACCAUAAUAAAUUAUAUGAUCCGAAAUGCUGGUCCCACUUACUGACCUGCUGCAGGUAGGAUCCUCGCCAGUAACAUCACAGACCUUCUCUACUGUGUAGACCAGACUUCCCAAUCCAACGUUAUACAGCCAAACCUCUCUUGGGAAGUGAUGGUAUGUCUUCUGAGGGAAGUAACUAUAGUAUGGAGGCAAAUGAGGCACAAUAUCAUG
rnacentral:misc_RNA from 1 species